CUUUUUUUUACUUUAAAAUUCCUGUAUUCCCAUUUUUAAGAGUAAAUUUAAACUUUCCAGGAUUUGAACUUUUUCCACAGCAGCAUAAUGAAAAAGUCAAUUUGAGAUAAUAGAAUGUAAUUCAAUGAUAAAAGAGAUUGAUGUCUGGUUAUAGGAAACAGAAGGGAAGGGAAAAACGUUUUGAUGUAACAAACAAAUUUUUAAUAAAAAUGUUUUUGUUUUCUGUAAUUUUGUAUUUGCUGCUACAGUAGCUCAAUGUUUUCAGAGCUAACAUAUAGAUCUGGCUCCAUUCAGAAACUGGAGUACUUUCUAGUGCAACCAACCUAGGAGGAAGGUGUGUACCACAGUCUUCCAGAAAGGUGACUGGCGGCCCUGUUUAGCUGAUGCAUGCUUUAAAAUGGCCUGUAGCCCAACAUCAAGGAAGUGUGGGAGAAACGUUUAUCUUGCUAAUUAGUAGCAUUAUGAUUCUUUUUGGGCCCUGGCAUUUUGUGAAACCCUUGAGGGAGGGAAGGUGAUGCUGGAGAAGAAAUGUGAAUUACAUUAUGUAGAAGGAUGUUUUCAUGCUUCUGUCCUCUCCUAGAACCAGAACAGCUUUUGUAUCUGUGCCAGGCUCUAGUUCACCAGCUAUGUAUCCAGUCAUCAUCUCAUUCAUAUUUGGCUUCACUUGGUGACAGCGCCCAUAGCUAGGUUAUUUGGCAUGUUUGACUUUGAACAGUAACAAAAAUGGUUUUGGAUUUUAUUUCCUAAAAAUGUAUACAAUGUCGAAACUUUACAUUUUAUAUACUAGUAUCUGGCUAUUAGUAUUUUACAGGAACCAUGGUUCUUGGUGACUACAUAUAUAUAUAUAUUUUUGUGACUUUUUUGUAUACUAAGUGCCGUUUUCAAUGUUACAAUCAUUUUUAGAGUUAUUGUAAUCAAUGUGAAUAUCAUGUUUUUUCAAAUCUGUUCUGAGCCUAUAGUGUUUGCUUUGUGAAUAUAUAUGUGUAUUGUAUAUAUUCUGUAUAGUUACAUUGUACUGAAAUAUUAGCUUGUUUGAUAUAAGGAAAGUAUGUAUUGAGUACUUUUUGCUAGUUUGGUUGUUUAAUCUUUUUUAAAAAGGUUUAAUCUUUUUAAAAAGCAAAAACUUUAAACCGGCCUUUAUUACAUGGUCACAAAUAAAGUUGCAGUUAGAAGGGAUGGGCAGGGAAAAAAAUAGUUUUGAGUGUCUUUGAAUAGAAACAAGACUAAGUUUUUAAGUUUUGUUUGGUUCCCUUCCUCCCUUCAUUAAAAUAUCUUAUUAAUGCUUUAUGGAGUAAAACUUCCUGCUGUUUUCAUUUACUGUUGGCUGGAAGGAAGAAUUGCUGCUGCUGCUGAUUGAGGUCAAGUGGAUAAGAAAAGUCAUCAGAGUAAUGCAUUUCUUAAGUAAGCAUCCGUUGAGUGUGUACAGACCAGAGAGUGCUCUCUGAGACAGCACACAUCAGCUUCCUGGGCAGCUAAGAAAAGAGUUCAUGAACACCAUCCCUGAAAUUAAAAGGAAUAUACAGGAGGCUAAUAAAGAAAGUCAUCAAAUCCCAGAGCGACCGAGCCAGGAAAUGUCCCAGUGUGCUGAACUUGGCUAGCUGUAGUUGGACUUCACAGCACAGAUCAGGCUUCACCUCCUCUCAGAACCCACCCCUCAGCCCCUACUCGCAUCUUCCUCCACUUUGGGGAUGCAGUCCGUCCUGUUUAUUCCCCUAGCAUGUUUUGUUUAGCUCCCAACAAGCCACAUCUCAAUCACAUCAUCUUGUAAUCUACUUCAUAGGGUGGUUGUGAGAAUUAAAAUGAAUUACAACCGUGCCUAGUGUGUAUAUCAGUCAGUUCAGUAGCUCAGUCGUGUCCGACUCUGCGACCCCAUGAACCGCAGCACACCAGGCCUCCCUGUCCAUCACGAACUCCCAGAGUUCACCCAAACUCAUGUCCAUUGAGUCGGUGACACCAUCCAACCAUCUCAUCCUCGGUCGGCCCCUUCUCCUGCCCUCAAUCUUUCCCAGCAUCAGGGUCUUUUCAAUUGAGUCAGCUCGUCGCAUCAGGUGGCCAAAGUACUGGAGUUUCAGCUUCAACAUCAGUCCUUCUAAAGAACACCCAGGACACACAGUGUGUAUAUAGUAGCCACUGGGCGUAUAUACACCCAUUGUGUAUAUAGUAGCCACUUAAUAAGUCCUGUCUAUUUAUUACUCGUGUGUCUCCCUCAGCUGACUUAAUUCUUGACAUCGGGGACUGUGUCUUCUAUUUGUAUAUCCCCUGCAGCGCCAGGCACAUAGUAAAGCUCAGAAAAUGUCAAAUGAAUAAUCGAAUGUCCCAGGAGAUGCUCACAGGUAACCUUAUGCUCACCAGGGAACUUUAGGACAGAAUACCAAGAAUCAUGUCACCUGGUAGCUUGCCUCCAUUCCCACUUCACCAUAUACAUCAGAAACCUACUCAUCCUUAAAUGAAGGUCUGAAAUGUGAGGCUGUACACAGUUUAAUCCCUAAGUCGUGUCCAACUGCAGCCCCAUGGACUGUAGCCCACCAAGCUCCUUGGUUUGUGGGAUUUCCCAGGCAUCGAGUAUAACUUCAGAUCUAAUCCUCAGAAUGACUACCAUCAGCCUGACCAGAAUGUCCCCACAUUAUCUGAAACGCUGGUCCUGCCGUCUCUAUCCCCUCAGGGUUUACUCAUCCAUCAAGUCCACAGCCGCACUGGCUUGGGACUUGGCUGUCAGGUUCACAAAGCGUCCGAUGCUUCUAUUACAUUGGUAAUUGAGGAUUCAAAAGCAGUUCGUUAGAUUCAGUGCCAUUAGGACAGGGCCCUUACCCGUCUCUUGUACUAAGGUGUCCUCGGGGCCAGGGUUGAUUGAAUGAAGCCUCUGACCUUAGGAAUGAGCAGUUUCUGAAUUGAAUUAUAGAAAUAAAACUAAUAGAGAUAUAACUGCCCUCAGAGACCCACCAGAGCAUGUGCUCUGCAGAUUUGGAGGGCUCAGAGAGGACAUGUUGGGGAGGGGCCCUCCCUGUCUAGAGGCCUAG
ensembl:lncRNA